GAACCCUGGAUCAUCCGAUAUAGUUGGAACGAUACAGAGAAGAUUAGCAUGGCCUCUGGCGCAAGGAUGACACGUACACACAAAUCGAGAAGUGCACCAAGUGCUG
rnacentral:snRNA from 1 species